rnacentral:lncRNA from 1 species
GAAUUCUUUCCUUAAAGAAGAAAAGAAGCUGGAGAAACCUUUGCAUUGUAAUGAAGUUAGUUCCUAAUUAGGAGCAACAUUCUGAUGGAAACAGACAUAGUGACAGGAAGCAUUCAGCUGGACAACAACACUGUAGAAGCACAGCAGGCUGGAGAAGAGAAUAAAGAUCUACAUCAACUCAUUGGCCCAGUGAGCAAAUCACAUCCAGCUUUGUGAGCAAUGAUACCCAGUGGACUCAGCUGGCUCCCAGGUGUCUCCUUGUUCAUCUAGGAGAAGCUUUGGAAUUUUAUGAGGUCCCAUCUGUCGAUAUUAGCCCAGAUACUUAGAAUACCUAAGAUAUCAGAUACAAUUUGUGAAACUCAUGAAGCUCAAGAAGAACGAAGACCAAAGUGUGGACACUUUGCCCCUUCUUAGAAUUGGGAACAAAAAACCCAUGGAAGGAGUUACAAAGUUUGGAGCUGAAACUAAAGGACAGACUAUCUAGAGACUGCCAUACCCGGGGAUCCAUCCCAUAAUCAGCCUCCAAAUGCUGACACCAUUGCAUACACUAGCAAGAUUUUGCUGAAAGGACCCUGAUAUAGCUGUCUCUUGUGAGACUAUGCCGGGGCCUAGCAAACACAGAAGUGGAUGCUCACAGUCAGCUAUUUGAUGGAUCACUGGGCCCCCAAUGGAGGAGCUAGAGAAAGUACCCAAGGAGCUGGGGGGGAUCUGCAACCCUAUAGCUGGAACAACAAUAUGAACUAACCAGUACCCCAGAGCUCGUGUCACUAGCUGCAUAUGUAUCAGAAGAUGGCCUAGUCGGCCAUCAGUGGAAAGAGAGGCCCAUUGGUCGUGCAAACUUUAUAUGCCUUAGUAUAGGGGAACGCCAGGGCCAAGAAGUGGGAGUGGGUGGGUAGGGGAGUGGGGUAUGG